rnacentral:rRNA from 1 species
AGAUAAUAGAUACCCGGGUAGUCCACGCCCUAAACGAUGAUCACUAGGUGCUGGGGGUCUCGACCCCUUCAGCGCCGACGCUAAACGCAUUAAGUGAUCCGCCUGGGUAGUACGAUCGCAAGAUUAAAACUCAAAGGAAUAGACGGGGACCCGCACAAGCGGUGGAGCAUCUGGUUUAAUUCGAUAGUAAGCGAGGAACCUUACCACGGUUUGACAUCUCGGGAAGUUUGCCGAAAGGUGAAUGUGCCGUAAGGAACCCGAUGACAGGUGCUGCAUGGUUGUCGUCAGCUCGUGCCUUGAGGUGUUCGGUUAAGUCCGUAAACGAGCGCAACCCAUGUCCUAAGUUGCAUUUUUCUUAGGAGACUGCCGGCUCCAAGUCGGAGGAAGGUAUGGAUGACGUCAAAUCAGCAUGGCCCUUAUACCGUGGGCGACACAGGUGCUACAAUGGUAGGUACAGUGGGCAGCGAAGGAGUAAUCUGGAGCAAAUCCCUAAAGCUUACCUAAGUUCGGAUUGAGGGCUGCAACUCGCCCUCAUGAAGCU